CCUACGGGUGGCUGCAGUCGAGAAUCAUUCACAAUGGGGGAAACCCUGAUGGUGUGACGCCGCGUGGGGGAAUGAAGGUCUUCGGAUUGUAAACCCCUGUCAUGUGGGAGCAAAUUAAAAAGAUAGUACCACAAGAGGAAGCGACGGCUAACUCUGUGCCAGCAGCCGCGGUAAGACAGAGGUCUCAAGCGUUGUUCGGAAUCACUGGGCGUAAGGCGUGCGUAGGCUGUUUCUUAAGUCGUGUGUGAAAGGCGCGGGCUCAACCCGCGGACGGCACAUGAUACUGCGAGACUAGAGUAAUGGAGGGGGAACCGGAAUUCUCGGUGUAGCAGUGAAAUGCGUAGAUAUCGAGAGGAACACUCGUGGCGAAGGCGAGUUCCUGGACAUUAACUGACGCUGAGGCACGAAGGCCAGGGGAGCGAAAGGGAUUAGAUACCCUGGUAGUC
rnacentral:rRNA from 1 species